UUUCCCAUUCCUAUAUGGAAGUAAGACCCCUGAGAGAUGAUCAGGUAGAUAGGUUGGAAGUGGAAGUGCAGUGAUGUACGGAGCGGACCAAUACUAAUCGGUCGAGGACUUAACCAAG
rnacentral:rRNA from 1 species